rnacentral:lncRNA from 1 species
CGUUCUUGUUGUUCCUACGUUCCUUUUAUGUCAUGAACGGGACGAAACGGCCGAAACAAAUUGUUGCUAAUUAUACUUCUAUUCCUGUGAUUUAAAAUACCAAAUUGAACUUCGUAUCUUAUAUGCAUAGCUACUGUCAGUCAUCCCAACAAGUUGACUUAGCGCUCAGUCAUUUUCCAUGGUCCAUGAGAUCCUCAUUCUGUCAAAAGCCUAAAACUCAUGUUUGAAGCACACACAUAGUGGAAUAAAAAUGUGCGGAGAUAAGGUAUUUUCCCAUUACUGCUACCACACCAACCACACCACGUCAGAUGCCUUAGCCUUACUAAAUCAUCACCCAUAUGAUAAAGCGUCAGGAAAUUUAUCUCAACUUGAGGAGUAAUGCUGUUGGUUGCUG